GGUUUAACUAUGGUAUUUAAAAUCCCUCGCCUUUCGAGGCGUGCCAGUUCAAGUCUGGCUUCGGGCACCA
rnacentral:tRNA from 1 species